rnacentral:rRNA from 1 species
CGUAGGGUGCGAGCGUUGUCCGGAAUUAUUGGGCGUAAAGAGCUUGUAGGCGGUUUGUCGCGUCUGCUGUGAAAAUCCGGGGCUCAACCCCGGACUUGCAGUGGGUACGGGCAGACUAGAGUGUGGUAGGGGAGACUGGAAUUCCUGGUGUAGCGGUGAAAUGCGCAGAUAUCAGGAGGAACACCGAUGGCGAAGGCAGGUCUCUGGGCCACUACUGACGCUGAGAAGCGAAAGCAUGGGGAGCGAACAGGAUUAGAUA